rnacentral:ncRNA from 1 species
AAAUUAUAUAUAUAUAUAUGCUUACGGUGGAUACCUAGGCACCUAGAGAUGAGGAAGGGCGUAGUAAUCGACGAAAUGCUUCGGGGCAUUGAAAAUAAGCAUAGAUCCGAAGAUUCCCGAAUAGGGCAACCUUUUGAACUGCUACUGAAUCCAUGGGCUAGCAAGAGACAACCUGGCGAACUGAAACAUCUUAGUAGCCAUAGGAAAAGAAAUCAAAAGCAAUUCCCAUAGUGGCGGCGAGUGAAAUGGGAGAAGCCUAAAUCGUGAAAAUGGGGUUGCGGGAGAGCAAUACAAGUGUCGUGCUGCUAGACGAAGCAACCUGAAUGUUGCACCCUAGAUGGAGAAAGUCCAAUAGACAAAAGCAUCACUAUCUUUCACUCUAACCCGAAUAGAAUAGGGCAUGUAGAAUCUUGUGUGAAUCAUGAAGGACCACCUUGCAAGGCUAAAUACUCCUGGGUGAUCGAUAGCAAAGUAGUACCAUGAUGGAAGGGUGAAAAAAAACCCCAUCAGGGAGUGAAAUAGAAUAUGAAACCAUAAGCUCCCAAGCAGUGGGAGGAGCCAGGGCUCUGACCGCGUGCCUGUUGAAGAAUGAGUCGACGAAUCAUAAACAGUAAAAAAGGGGGUUGAAGAAUGAACCUAUUUUAGGACUCUUAUUUUUUUAUCUUCUUGUAAACCUUCAGAAUAAUUUUU